UACGUAGGUGGCGAGCGUUGUCCGGAUUUACUGGGUGUAAAGGGCGAGUAGGCGGGAUGUCAAGUCAGAUGUGAAAUCUGGAGGCUCAACCUCCAAACUGCAUUUGAAACUGAUGUUCUUGAGUGAUGGAGAGGCAGGCGGAAUUCCCGGUGUAGCGGUGGAAUGCGUAGAUAUCGGGAGGAACACCAGUGGCGAAGGCGGCCUGCUGGACAUUAACUGACGCUGAGGAGCGAAAGCGUGGGGAGCAAAC
rnacentral:rRNA from 1 species